GACGAACGCUGGCGGCGUGCUUAACACAUGCAAGUCGAACGAAGUGGCGAACGGGUGAGUAACGCGUCAUCCACGUGCCCUUCAGAGGGGGACAACAGUGGGCAACGAUAGCUCAUACCUCAUACUGAAGGUGGGGGGUGCGGGGGAUUAGCUGGUUGGGGGGGGAACGGCCCACCAAGGCGAAGAUAAGUAGGCGGUCUGAGAGGAUUAAUGGCCAAAAUGGGACUGAGAAACGGCCCUGAAUCCUACGGGAGGCAGCAGGGGGGAAGCUUGCGCAAUGGACGAAAGUCUGACGGAGCAACGCCGCGUGAGGGAUGACGGCUUUCGGGUUGUAAAGCUCUGUUAAUCGGGACGCGGUACCGGAAUAGAAAGCCACGGCUAACUACGUGCCAGCAGCCGCGGUAAUAC
rnacentral:rRNA from 1 species